GAUGAACGCUGGCGGCGUGCCUAAUACAUGCAAGUCGAGCUAACAGAUGAGGAGCUUGCUCCUCUGACGUUAGCGGCGGACGGGUGAGUAACACGUGGAUAACCUACCUAUAAGACUGGGAUAACUUCGGGAAACCGGAGCUAAUACCGGAUAAUAUAUUGAACCGCAUGGUUCAAUAGUGAAAGACGGUUUUGCUGUCACUUAUAGAUGGAUCCGCGCCGCAUUAGCUAGUUGGUAAGGUAACGGCUUACCAAGGCAACGAUGCGUAGCCGACCUGAGAGGGUGAUCGGCCACACUGGAACUGAGACACGGUCCAGACUCCUACGGGAGGCAGCAGUAGGGAAUCUUCCGCAAUGGGCGAAAGCCUGACGGAGCAACGCCGCGUGAGUGAUGAAGGUCUUCGGAUCGUAAAACUCUGUUAUUAGGGAAGAACAAAUGUGUAAGUAACUAUGCACGUCUUGACGGUACCUAAUCAGAAAGCCACGGCUAACUACGUG
rnacentral:rRNA from 1 species